ACUGAUGGAACAUGACAUUACUGGGGCAGCCUCUGGGCUUUUCACAGUGCUGCAGGACACAAGCAACACUGACUGUGAAUGUGGAAAAGCAGAACAAAAUGCCAAGUCAAGAUAACACACAUGUGAUAACAGCAAGGAAAUCCUCAAAGGGAAUUCCCAAAAUGACCACACAAACCAGAAGACUUGUCUGAUGGACCCAUGAAUUGUAAAAAAUUUUGAGGAAAGAUCCACACAGAGGGUGGGUGGGUUGGGACCACACAGCUACCUGUAAGGCUCUUGCAGUCUGCAGGCAGGUGCCAUACACCUUUCUUUUUCCUUGAUUCAAUGCUGUUUCAUGUAAGGUUUUCAAAAUCUCCAGCAAGACACUGAGGAGGGAAAAGACCAACGUAUGUUUUGGGUUGCCUCCCAAACCAGGUCCUGCUCUAGACCACAGCCCUUUUUAUACUGUCCCAUCCAUGUCACAGACCCCACUGUGAUGUGGCCACUACUGAUUUGCUGUCUGUUGUGACAUGGCCACCAUAGUUCUCAGUACAAGGAGCUGAUGUAGUGAGCAGACCACAGCUCCAUCGGGAAACAGGACUGUGGCUCCUGGCACUUGCUCGAAUGCACUGUGCUGGACAAUCUCCUCAACCCAGGCCUGUUGGGAGAUGCCUACACAUAGCACCAUAUCUAGAACUGGAUGCCAUGCCAGGGCUGCUGUGGAAGACAACAACCUUAGCCAAUAUAAAGGCCUGAAGAGCCACCCUGACUUCCUCAUAACAGAGACUUCUAGAACUGGACUUCAUAUUAACUAUGGGACAUUGAUCAUUUUGCUGCUAAUCUCAGGAGAGAGUCACCACUGUUCUCAACCAUGACAAUGCAAAAAAAAAAAAAAAAAAAGCGCUUUAAAAGUUAAAUAAUGACUUUUUAUCAUUAUUCUAUGGAUUUUUUUUUCUGUCUUGUCCUAGCAAAGCCGAGUGUUUCUUCUUCCUUUCAAACUUUUUCAAAUUCACCUUGGAUAAAAAUGGAUAAUGUAAUGAAUAAUGGAGAAUGAGAAAGUGGGAAUAAUAAAAGGUAGCUGUCAUUUUUUCA
rnacentral:lncRNA from 1 species